ensembl:lncRNA
GCUUAGGCUGAAAACUUAUCUAGAAGGUUAAAAAAAAAACAAACUUUUGAAAUGGCCUGAUCCUGGUUUCCCUCAAUAAGGAUGAUCCUGACCCCCACUGAAGGGCUUGUUUGGUCUUGGCCAUCCCCAUCACCAGGAAGGUGCCUGGGGUCCAGGGCUGGAACUACCCCAGUGUUCAGACUGUUCUGCUCCUGGCUGGAAACAUGGAACAUGCCUGUCUUCCAGAUCUGACCCUGCCCAGGCCUAGUGAGUCCCUGCUGCUUCUUGAACCUAGAUCCCACAAAGCCACUGGUGCCUUGACACUGAUUAAGAAGGAUUUGGUGAUGCAGUUCUUCAGACAACUGGAAAAGCCUUAUGUUUGCAAGUUAAAUAUAUGAUGUUCACUGGCUGGUGAAUGUGAACCUGCAGAAAGGAAACUGGUGAGAAUAUGAUGAAGGUCUUGCUUGGCUGAAGUACAAAUUACCACUAGGCUUGGGUAUAGAAGUUAAUCUAGAGAUGAUGAUGAAUCGCUUGGAGGAACUAUGGUGAGUUUGUAAUAUGAGUUAUAGCAAUUUGUAUUUAUUGCAUAAAUACAGUUAUUUAGAUGGAGUACUCACAGUAGUUUGCCACAAUAGUAAAAAGCAGUGGUAGAGGAAGGGUGUUAUUUUUCUUCUGAUAUGUAUUGAAUUGCUGCCUAAGACACUGUGAACUCCGUGGAGAGAUACAGACACUUGCAGGAAGUGAUUCAUCUAAUUUUUAGAUGUCUAAAAUAAGGCAGAUUGAAGAACCUACUUGUCUCUGUAUAACUUCUAGUCUGUAUCUCAUUGCUAUGAGCAGUUCCCUGCAGUUAAAACAAUAUGAUCACAAGUAAGCAGAAGCAGUUUGUCAUAGCAUCCUGCUACCAUACAGCCAAACACAGAUAACUUGACUUUCUAACAAAUUCCCUUUCAGUUGCAGCAUAAGUAGCUCAUCCAACGAAUCAGUUAUAAUCAUGCUCAAAUGCAGAGUCAAAGUUAUACAACAUGGAACAUAGUAUUCCAGCCUGCAAGAAAUUAACCCUUAACAUGCAGCAUUCUGUGUGCAUCUCUGGAGACUGUAUUAAGUUAAGAAGAACUCAAUUGUGUCUAUAAAUUCUUUUUUUGUUUUUUUGCUUUAUUUUUCUUCUUCCACUAUGGAGAUAUAGGAUUUGAUUUUGCAAAGAUUUUGCAGAGCAUUUUCUGGACACUCCUUUCCUCAACUGCUUUCAGGAGAACAGGAUGCUGUGCCUUGUGAGAUCAAGGCCAUACACCAGGUAGAGAAUGUCUGUAUCUGAGCUACUACAUUCCUUGGAUGUGCAACAUUUUCAGAUGACUUCUAAAACUAUCACUUGCCCUCUACUACUGCUUCCAGCUGCCAGCCGGCAAAAAGUGCAGUGUCUAAUCUUGGAUGAUUGACCAGGCUCUAUCCAUAAUUGAUGGAGACAAACACUUCUGAGGGGAGAUUCAUCUGGUCUAUGGAGACCAUGAAUCACACAUUUCCUGUCUCCUGGCUAUUUGUUGACACCCUUGCCUCAUGUCACUGCACCUUUCUGCUUACACUGAUAUCACUGUUAGUGGUGAUGGCAUUACUUAAGUAGUUUAAUUUGUCUGGGUUAAAUAAAAAAAAGUAGAAGUGCUCCCA